GAUGAACGCUGGCGGCGUGCCUAAUACAUGCAAGUCGAGCGAACAGAUAAGGAGCUUGCUCCUCUGACGUUAGCGGCGGACGGGUGAGUAACACGUGGGUAACCUACCUAUAAGACUGGAAUAACUCCGGGAAACCGGGGCUAAUGCCGGAUAACAUGUUGAACCGCAUGGUUCUACAGUGAAAGGCGGCUUUGCUGUCACUUAUAGAUGGACCCGCGCCGUAUUAGCUAGUUGGUGAGGUAACGGCUCACCAAGGCAACGAUACGUAGCCGACCUGAGAGGGUGAUCGGCCACACUGGAACUGAGACACGGUCCAGACUCCUACGGGAGGCAGCAGUAGGGAAUCUUCCGCAAUGGGCGAAAGCCUGACGGAGCAACGCCGCGUGAGUGAUGAAGGUCUUCGGAUCGUAAAACUCUGUUAUUAGGGAAGAACAAAUGCGUAAGUAACUGUGCGCGUCUUGACGGUACCUAAUCAGAAAGCCACGGCUAACUACGUG
rnacentral:rRNA from 1 species